rnacentral:rRNA from 1 species
AGCAGCCGCGGUAAUUCCAGCUCCAAUAGCGUAUAUUAAAGUUGCUGCAGUUAAAAAGCUCGUAGUUGAAUUUCGGGACUAAUAUGUCGGUCGUGCCUCGGUACGUACUGGUUUAUUGGUUUCUCCUUUCUGAAGAACCAUGAUGUCAUUUAUUUGGUGUCGUGGGGAAUCAGGACUGUUACUUUGAAAAAAUUAGAGUGUUUAAAGCAGGCUCACGCUUGAAUACAUUAGCAUGGAAUAAUGAAAUAGGACGUUUGAUUCUAUUUUGUUGGUUUCUGGGAUCGACGUAAUGAUUAAUAGGGAUAGUUGGGGGCAUUAGUAUUCAAUUGUCAGAGGUGAAAUUCUUGGAUUUAUUGAAGACUAACUACUGCGAAAGCAUUUGCCAAGGAUGUUUUCAUUAAUCAAGAACGAAAGUUAGGGGAUCGAAGACGAUCAGAUACCGUCGUAGUCUUAACCAUAAACUAUGCCGACUAGGGAUCGGAUGAUGUUAAUUUUUUAAUGACUCAUUCGGCGCCUUACG